AUUGAACGCUGGCGGCAGGCCUAACACAUGCAAGUCGAGCGGAUGAGAGGAGCUUGCUCCUUGAUUUAGCGGCGGACGGGUGAGUAAUGCCUAGGAAUCUGCCUGGUAGUGGGGGAUAACGUUCCGAAAGGAACGCUAAUACCGCAUACGUCCUACGGGUGAAAGCAGGGGACCUUCGGGCCUUGCGCUAUCAGAUGAGACUAGGUCGGAUUAGCUAGUUGGUGAGGUAAUGGCUCACCAAGGCGACGAUCCGUAACUGGUCUGAGAGGAUGAUCAGUCACACUGGAACUGAGACACGGUCCAGACUCCUACGGGAGGCAGCAGUGGGGAAUAUUGGACAAUGGGCGAAAGCCUGAUCCAGCCAUGCCGCGUGUGUGAAGAAGGUCUUCGGAUUGUAAAGCACUGUAAGUUGGGAGGAAGGGCAGUAAGCUAAUACGUUGCUGUUUUGACGUUACCGACAGAAUAAGCACCGGCUAACUUCGUG
rnacentral:rRNA from 1 species